rnacentral:SRP_RNA from 1 species
GGUUGCCUCGCGACGAUAUGUUGUGAACCCCGCCAGGCCCGGAAGGGAGCAACGGUAGCAUCUGAUUCGGGCGCCGAGAUUUGGU